CAACGUAACUACUUUUGAUUCUUGUUCAUGAGUCAAGUACAUUUUAAGUUUUUCAUCUUACAUACGGUUUUAUUAAAAACAUGAUUGUUUUAGAGAUUAAAAUGAAGUUUUCUAAUAAUCAAUUAAGUACUUGUCAUGAAAACCCACUACUACGAGUUAGUAAUAAUAUUGGAGUCGAGAGCUUGUGAAACUUGAGAAAGAAAGGAGAUGAAGAACUCAAAAAGGAGAUGAAGAAGUCAAAGUAACAUUGAAGAAGAUGAGGGAAUUGGAGGCGUCCAUCGCUGGGACUGAAACUUUGCUCCGACAAAGAGUUUGAUCAACGCUAGGGUUUCACUGCUCAACACUCUCACCCUAGUCUAAAUUAAUAUUUGCCAUGUGUACUUUUAGUUUUUAAUUUCUAUACAAAUUCCCAUUUAUUAAAUUUGUCUCCGUCGUCGAAUUAAUAGAAGAAUUGUGUGCAAUAGCAUAAAGCUUUGGGGUUGAUAUUGCAGCCGAUGAAUAUUAACAAGUAAAUGUACUUGAUUAUGUAAGAACUCUAACACAGAUCGAUGAUAUGCCAAUUGAAUUACCAAUGUUCUGAAACAAGUCAAGUGACAAAACUUAUGAACAAGAACAAGGAUUGCCGAGAACAUACCUGCAGAAUUUGAACUUGAAGAAGCCAUAACAGCCUCUGUGUUCAAAACCUUCUCCUCUUUUACGAUCACAAUAGCUUUUCUAAUCAAUAGGACUUAGAACAACAUAAGCUAAUAUCGCAAGAGCAGUGGUUUGAACCAUAAAUAUAUAGUGCUCCUUCGUCCAUUCCCUAUCAGAAUUGGACUAGGAUUCAAAGACAUACAAACCAUAAAGAUUCAUGAGACUUUAUAAAGUUCCAACACAAAGUUCUUUUCCAAAACCAAUUGGAACUUCUCUCAAGACUGCAUUCCUUAUCAGAUUUAGACUUCUUUAUAAUAUCAAUUAUCCCAAGACUUAUAAGAAUCAUACUCAUACUCUUACAUUCUCUCACUUGAGUAUGAUUCAUCACAACAGAUAAUCAUCUCAAAUUAUAAAGGUGAUCAGAUAAGUCAUUCACCAUCACACUAGUACAUAGACACAACCUGCUUACAUAAACCAAAACAAUGAAUUUAUAAUUGCCUCUGCAACACAAAAUACAGAUUUAACUUACAAAUCACAAUGUCCAGUUUAUGUUCAUAGCAAUGUAUCUAAGAUCAAAUUUAUAUAAAAAUUACCAAAUGUUUUGGAUAACAAAAGCUUAUCCUCACAUACAACUUACCUAUGCAUUUUAAAGUAUUGAACUUAAGAAUCUUUUCUGUUACAUCGCAGAAUUAACUCAAAAGUCACAACAUACUUAAUUUGCACAUUGUAAUUAUGUGAACCAAAAUAGCAAAACCAAACCAAUUUGCUCCCACUUAUCUAGGCCAUACUUAACACAAACAAGUUAAGUAUAAGUUAAUAUCAACUGUAUUAACUAACAGUCAUUGCAAUACACUGAAUGUCUUAUUAAUGUGAUCAAUUGCCGCAACCAAUACGCAAACAAAUUCCAUGAUCACAUUCAUCCAAUUCGUAUUUACAACAAUGUGAUUUUACUUGACCAGAGCAAACACAUAAAUUGAUUUGCUCCCACUAUAUCAAGUUAAGUUUAGUUCCAGCAAAUAGCACUAAACUUCUCAUUACUUAAACAAAUUAAGUAACAUAAAUAAUUACCAAUUGCUUCAAUAAAACCAUAAUCUGGUUUUCAAGCAUCCAUAUGAAUUAUAAUGGCUGGCUUAAAUACUCCUAGCCUUAUGCUUACAUUCGAACAUACGAUUCUCCCACUUAAGCAUAAGGAGAAUAUACUGCACAGUCAAUAAAGAAAUCGGAGAUAUGAACCAAUUGGUUCCCGAUUCCUUACCUAUUGCAUAAUCUCAGUUUAGUUAUAUACACCUAAACCAUUAUACAAAACAGUCUAUGUAUCAAAAGAUAGUCACAAUCCAUUCGGAAAAACUUAUCUCACAUAAACUCAAAAUCACCAGUUUCAACAAUGAUCAAAAUCAGAAUAGCAAGCACAAUAUUUUUGCAUUCAAUUUGAUCUUAACUAGUUCAAUAUCCAUCGAGCAAGAUCAACCAAAAUUUGAUAAUGUUUGGAUAUAUAUGACAACAAUAUAUCUUGAUUAAAACGAGAUAAUCAAGACUACUAUUUCUUCUGGAGAACUCGAAGUUCAUCUUUCUCCCUAUUUGUGAUUUCAACCAAAAUAUAAUAGCGGAAGCAGCAUGCAUCAUGAAAUCACAAAUAUACAUAUACAAUAAGCAUGCAUCGAUAUAUAUACAUGAUAAGAUUAGUCGACAAUAAUCCAGAUUAAAAAUCUUCAUGCCUUUAAUUCAUUGUCAACACCAUCAUCAAUUAUAUACAGAUUCGUAAGCAAGUCCUUGGAGAAAAUAAUGAUAACUGCAUAUCAUUAGUCUUAUGAAUUUCCAAUAAGAUGACAAAUAAUUAUUUGUUUUUCCGAUUCAUAAUAGAAUAUAUAUUUUGUAAAUGGCUAAAAGUUUAUUGUCACAAGACUCAUUAUAGGCGGUCAAUAAAACAUCUACCUUAUAUAUUCAUUUGUUCAUAUAUUUUCUUGUAUGCUUGCAUCAAUAUUCAGAGAAACUUAUGCAAGUUCUAUUUGAUAUAGAUAAAGCCGCAUGCCCAUAAUUACAACAUCUAUGCACGAAUGCUAUCUAGAUAGAUAUGAAUACAAAUUUAAUUCAUAUAUGCGAUUUAUGUAUAAGUCACAAAGCAAUUGGCAUCCAUUUAUAUAUGCAUUCCAUGUUGUUUGCUUUAUAUUGCUUGCCGACUUGCACAUGAUAUGCAGUCAAAUCCAUUCCAACCCAAACUUGAUAUAAAUCAAACCAAUUGAAAAUCAGGAAUUGACAAUAAGAUGUGCACUUGUGCUGCUCCCCGCAAUUAAAUGUAUCGAGAUUCAUACAUGAAACAAUGCAUAUACACAGACUCUUUAAUGAAAAAUGGAAAAGUAUAUCUAGACAAAUUUGUUUAUGCAGCAAAGUAUGAUUCCAGACAUCUCACAUAAAUCACAAGUUGGCAUCUAUAGGGAUUUCGAGUUUAAUCAUGCCUUUACAAUUUAUAUAAAUAAACAAGCAUACUCGAAAUAGCAAAAGACCUAAUUCAUUAUGCUCCAACUCAUCACACUAUAAUCAUGCAUAUAGGAGAACAAUUAAUCACGCAUGAAACAGUGAAGUGAGUUACCUGAAUGCAUCAUUGGACUCGUAUUCGUCAACCAAUUGCAAUUCCUCGACUCCAAAUUAACGAAAUUACUUAUCCAUCAGUGCUCGAGAAUCGUCCAUGCGGAUUGUCAUCACUCCAAAUUCCCAUGCGGAUUGCCAUCAUAAUCAAUCAACACAGCGGAAACAAGAAUUUUGAAAAUCAGAAUUACGAUGUUUAUGAGAGAUGUAUACUGAUAAAUUACUAUACUUAUCACCAAAUAAGCAAGCAUGAAAAAGUUCUCUCAACCCCAGAUUGAGAAACACGGUUUCAGAAUAAGUAACUAAUCUUGACACCAAUUCCAUUUAACUCAAUCUAAAUGUUAAACAAAAUUCAAGAAAUUGCAAUAAGAUUUCAAAAUACAUACCCUUUUAUGAAUGGUUUCAGGAUCGUAUCAAUCUUAGCAUCAAUCAUGUAUAAAGAUUGCAGUAUUGUAUAUAUUACAUCAGGAGUUUUGUAUGUAUCAAGGAUCAAAAUUCAAUAAACUUGAUAUAAUACAUCAGGAGUUUUGAAUUAUAAACAUACCUUUGGGAACAAAAGAAAAAUAUAUAUUAUCGCAAAUCCAAAUCUUAAACAAAGAUGGUUGUGAACGAGAAGAUCUAGAAGCAAAGCAUGUUUGGAUCAUCACAACUUCAAACCAAGAAGAGAAAAAAAAGUGCAAACCCAGAAAAUUUCGAACAAGGUUAUGAGUUUUGCCAAUAUUCAAUUUAAACAAGGUUAUACGUUUUCUAGGUUUGGAACGUUUAAGUGUUCAUAGCUUUUCCAUCAGAUUCUUGUGUAAAUUUCGAACUCAAUGACAAUAAUCAACUAGGCUCUGAUACCACAUGUAAGAACUCUAACACAGAUCGAUGAUAUGCCAAUUGAAUUACCAAUGUUCUGAAACAAGUCAAGUGACAAAACUUAUGAACAAGAACAAGGAUUGCCGAGAACAUACCUGCAGAAUUUGAACUUGAAGAAGCCAUAACAGCCUCUGUGUUCAAAACCUUCUCCUCUUUUACGAUCACAAUAGCUUUUCUAAUCAAUAGGACUUAGAACAACAUAAGCUAAUAUCGCAAGAGCAGUGGUUUGAACCAUAAAUAUAUAGUGCUCCUUCGUCCAUUCCCUAUCAGAAUUGGACUAGG
rnacentral:lncRNA from 1 species